rnacentral:rRNA from 1 species
GACGAACGCUGGCGGCGUGCUUAACACAUGCAAGUCGAACGGGUCUGCCCUGUUUUUUGCGGGGUGGGUCAGUGGCGAACGGGUGAGUAACACGUGAGUAACCUGCCCCUCACUUCUGGAUAACCGCUUGAAAGGGUGGCUAAUACGGGGUGUUCUGGCUGUGCCGCAUGGUGUGGCUGGGAAAGAUUCACUUUUGUGGUGUUUUGGUGGGGGAUGGGCUCGCGGCCUAUCAGCUUGUUGGUGGGGUGAUGGCCUGCCAAGGCUUUGACGGGUAGCCGGCCUGAGAGGGUGGGCGGUCACACUGGGGCUGAGAGACGGCCCAGACUGCUGCGGGGGGCAGCAGUGGGGGGGAGUGAACAAUGGGCGGGAGUCUGAUGCAGCGGCGUCGCGUGAGGGAUGGAGGCCGUCGGGGUGUGAACCUCUUUCGCCGGUGAAGAAGGUCCUGCUAUUGGUGGUGGGGUUGACGGUAGCCGGGUUAUGAAGCGCCGGCUAACUACGUG